CCGGACACCUUGGAGCCGCCGCACCGGCACAAAGCGACGGCGCCCCAUACAAAA
rnacentral:ncRNA from 1 species